rnacentral:rRNA from 1 species
UACGAGGGGUGCAAGCGUUGCUCGGAAUUAUUGGGCGUAAAGGGUAGGUAGGUGGUCUCAUUUGUCUGGGGUGAAAGCCUCGAGCUUAACUCGAGAAGUGCCUCGGAAACGGUGAGACUAGAGUCUUGGAGAGGGUCGUGGAAUUCCCGGUGUAGCGGUGAAAUGCGUAGAGAUCGGGGAGGAACACCAGCGGCGAAGGCGGCGACCUGGACAAGUACUGACACUCAACUACGAAAGCGUGGGGAGCAAACAGG